rnacentral:rRNA from 1 species
UGGGGAAUAUUGGACAAUGGGCGAAAGCCUGAUCCAGCCAUGCCGCGUGUGUGAAGAAGGUCUUCGGAUUGUAAAGCACUUUAAGUUGGGAGGAAGGGCAGUUACCUAAUACGUAUCUGUUUUGACGUUACCGACAGAAUAAGCACCGGCUAACUCUGUGCCAGCAGCCGCGGUAAUACAGAGGGUGCAAGCGUUAAUCGGAAUUACUGGGCGUAAAGCGCGCGUAGGUGGUUUGUUAAGUUGGAUGUGAAAUCCCCGGGCUCAACCUGGGAACUGCAUUCAAAACUGACAAGCUAGAGUAUGGUAGAGGGUGGUGGAAUUUCCUGUGUAGCGGUGAAAUGCGUAGAUAUAGGAAGGAACACCAGUGGCGAAGGCGACCACCUGGACUGAUACUGACACUGAGGUGCGAAAAGCGUGGGGAG